GGAGGAAGCAGGGGAUCGAAAGACCUUGCGCUUAAGGAGCGGCCGAUGUCUGAUUAGCUAGUUGGUAGGGUAAAGGCCUACCAAGGCGACGAUCAGUAGUUGGUCUGAGAGGACGACCAACCACACUGGGACUGAGACACGGCCCAGACUCCUACGGGAGGCAGCAGUGGGGAAUUUUGGACAAUGGGCGCAAGCCUGAUCCAGCCAUGCCGCGUGAGUGAAGAAGGCCUUCGGGUUGUAAAGCUCUUUCAGUUGGGAAGAAACGAUUGCAACUAAUAAUUGUAAUUAAUGACGGUACCGACAGAAGAAGCACCGGCUAACUACGUGCCAGCAGCCGCGGUAAUACGUAGGGUGCGAGCGUUAAUCGGAAUUACUGGGCGUAAAGGGUGCGCAGGCGGUUUUGUAAGUCAGAUGUGAAAUCCCCGGGCUUAACCUGGGAAUGGCGUUUGAAACUACAAGGCUAG
rnacentral:rRNA from 1 species